rnacentral:rRNA from 1 species
GACGAACGCUGGCGGCGCGCUUAACACAUGCAAGUCGAACGGAAAGGCCUGCUUUCCCUUGUGGAUUGCGGGUACUCGAGUGGCGAACGGGUGAGUAACACGUGAGUGAUCUGCCCCCAACUUGGGUAUAAGCCUGGGAAACUGGGUCUAAUUCCCGAUAGGACUGCAGGGUGGUGCCUGUGGUGGAAAACGAUUUUCUAGUGGUUGGGGAUGAGCUCGCGGCCUAUCAGCUUGUUGGUGGGGUAAUGGCCUACCAAGGCGGCGACGGGUAGCCGGCCUGAGAGGGUGGACGGCCACAUUGGGACUGAGAUACGGCCCAGACUCCGACGGGAGGCAGCAGUGGGGAAUAGUGCACAAUGGGCGGAAGCCUGAUGCAGCGACGCCGCGUGGGGGAUGACGGCCUUCGGGUUGUAAACUCCUUUCGACCGCGAGGAAGCCACCUGGUUGGAAGGGUGGUGACGGUAGUGGUAGAAGAAGCACCGGCUAACUACGUG